rnacentral:rRNA from 1 species
CACCGCGGUUAUACGAGAGGCCCAAGUUGUUAAUCAUCGGCGUAAAGGGUGGUUAAAAUAAAAUUUUACUAAAGUCGAACGCCUACAGGACCGUUAUACGUAUUCCGAAGGUAUGAAGAUCAAUUACGAAAGUGGCUUUAUUACAUUUGACCCCACGAAAGCUAAGGUA